rnacentral:rRNA from 1 species
AACAGGAUUAGAUACCCUGGUAGUCCACGCCGUAAACGAUGUCGACUUGGAGGUUGUGCCCUUGAGGCGUGGCUUCCGGAGCUAACGCGUUAAGUCGACCGCCUGGGGAGUACGGCCGCAAGGUUAAAACUCAAAUGAAUUGACGGGGGCCCGCACAAGCGGUGGAGCAUGUGGUUUAACUCGAUGCAACGCGAAGAACCUUACCUACUCUUGACAUCCAGAGAACUUAGCAGAGAUGCUUUGGUGCCUCCGGGAACUCUGAGACAGGUGCUGCAUGGCUGUCGUCAGCUCGUGUUGUGAAAUGUUGGGUUAAGUCCCGCAACGAGCGCAACCCUUAUCCUUUGUUGCCAGCGGUUAGGCCGGGAACUCAAAGGAGACUGCCAGUGAUAAACUGGAGGAAGGUGGGGAUGACGUCAAGUCAUCAUGGCCCUUACGAGUAGGGCUACACACGUGCUACAAUGGCAUAUACAAAGAGAAGCGACCUCGCGAGAGCAAGCGGACCUCAUAAAGUAUGUCGUAGUCCGGAUUGGAGUCUGCAACUCGGCUCCAUGAAGACGGAAUCGCUAGUAAUCGUGGAUCAGAAUGCCACGGUGAAUACGUUCCCGGGCCUUGUACACACCGCCCGUCACACCAUGGGAGUGGGUUGCAAAAGAAGUAGGUAGCUUAACCUUCGGGAGGGCGCUUACCACUUUGUGAUUCAUGACUGGGGUGAAGUCGUAACAAGGUAACC